rnacentral:rRNA from 1 species
GACGAACGCUGGCGGCGUGCUUAACACAUGCAAGUCGAGCGGAAAGGCCCUUUCGGGGGUACUCGAGCGGCGAACGGGUGAGUAACACGUGAGUAAUCUGCCCUGCGCUCUGGGAUAGCCACCGGAAACGGUGAUUAAUACCGGAUAGGACCACUUCACGCAUGUGAUGGUGGUGGAAAGUUUUUUCGGCGCAGGAUGUGCUCGCGGCCUAUCAGCUUGUUGGUGAGGUAACGGCUCACCAAGGCUUUGACGGGUAACCGGCCUGAGAGGGUGACCGGUCACACUGGGACUGAGACACGGCCCAGACUCCUACGGGAGGCAGCAGUGGGGAAUAUUGGACAAUGGGCGGAAGCCUGAUCCAGCAACGCCGCGUGAGGGAUGACGGCCUUCGGGUUGUAAACCUCUUUCAGUACCGACGAAGCGAAAGUGACGGUAGGUACAGAAGAAGGACCGGCCAACUACGUGCCAGCAGCCGCGGUAAUACGUAGGGUCCGAGCGUUGUCCGGAAUUAUUGGGCGUAAAGGGCUCGUAGGCGGUUUGUCGCGUCGGGAGUGAAAACACCGGGCUUAACUCGGUGCUUGCUUUCGAUACGGGCAGACUAGAGGUAUGCAGGGGAGAAUGGAAUUCCUGGUGUAGCGGUGAAAUGCGCAGAUAUCAGGAGGAACACCGGUGGCGAAGGCGGUUCUCUGGGCA